UUUAUUCAUUGUAAGACCAACAUUGGAGCCAUUCGGUACUCAGUUCUAAUAAUAAAUAUUUUGAAAUUCAGGCAAAUUUUCCUUUUUUCGUGUAACGCGAGCAAUCUCAUACGUCAUCAUGUUUGGCUAUACGUGCUAUCCUGCUGCCUGCAUUGGAAUCUGCGGUAGUGCUGGGCCUGGUGGCUUUUAUGAUCCCUGCUUCUGUUCAUUCCAAGGACCCUUCAAUAGCUGUACCGGUCCAAGUGGCCCCGGCUUUUGGCACGGACGAUUGUGUUAAGAUAUUUUUCAUGGAUAUUCUAAAUAUUCUUUUGAAGCACAAUGUUAGAACUGGCUGGCUUUCAAGUUCGGUUGCGGAGGUGGUGAGAUCUCGGUUGCAGAAGAAUUCUAGGAGAAAUGCCUUUAACAGCUGUACCAUCGUGUAUAGCUUCUCAAAAUUAUUUAUGUUUACCGAAAACAACGUUCAAUAUAAUUGUAAUUGAGCACAGAAAAUAA
rnacentral:sRNA from 1 species